GAUCCUUUAGUUUAAUGGUAGAGCUGCGGUUUUACAAGCCGAAGGUUAAUGGUUCAAGUCCAUUAAGGAUCA
rnacentral:tRNA from 1 species